AAUGAACGUUGGCGGCGUGGAUUAGGCAUGCAAGUCGAACGGGCCCGGCUUCGGCCGGGCCAGUGGCGCAAGGGUGAGUAAGGCGACGGUAACCAACCCCACGGUCGGGUAUAGCCGCGGGAAACUGCGGGUAAUCCCCAGCGACGUCGGGAUCCGGCAUCGGGCCCCGACCAAAGCUUUGGCGCCGUGGGACGGGCCGUCGUGGUAUUAGCUAGUUGGCGGGGUGACGGCCCACCAAGGCUGUGAUGCCUACCGGGCGUGCGAGCGUGGCCCGGCACACUGGGACUGAGACACUGCCCAGACUCCUACGGGAGGCUGCAGUCGAGAAUCUUCGGCAAUGGGCGCAAGCCUGACCGAGCGACGCCGCGUGGAGGACGAAGGCCCUCGGGUUGUAAACUCCUGUCGAGGGGGAGGAAGGCGCAAGCUUGACCGAUCCCUGGAGGAAGCACGGGCUAAGUUCGUGCCAGCAGCCGCAGUAAAAC
rnacentral:rRNA from 1 species